AAUCGGGAGAAUGCAGCUUGGAAUUUCUGUGAACCCAAAGCACGUGACCGUCUUCCUUCCCCCCCCCAGAUUAAAAACAAACAAACACCAAAACAAACUGGAUUGAGGAGAGUUCUUCCUUGGAAUCAGGAGCCAAAAAGACCUUGGAUUUCACAGGAAAUAAUACCUGGGAAGAAAUACCUGCCUGUUCAGCUGACUAAAACAAAUGGCUUCCUCGUAAUGAAAAAUAUUGCGCAAGAAGGAGGACUGAUAUACUCUGAAAAAUGUUAUCAUCCACUCCCGGAGUAUGGUCAGCUGGCUGUGAAGCUCACAAACAAAGGACUCAAUUUUGGAUCCAAACACUUGUCUCCCUAUUAUUUUUUAAAUGCUGAUGAACUAUUUUCUGUUUUCCCUGUAUAUCAUCAUGUCAGCCUACAGUUUCAUGCACUGCAAUGAAACAUACUUUAGCUUGUGUUACCUUAAAUCAGGGGUCGGCAACCUUUCAGAAGUGGUGUGCUGAGUCUUCAUUUAUUCACUCUAAUUUAAGGUUUCGUGUGCCAGUAAUACAUUUUAACCUUUUUAGAAGGUCUCUUUCUAUAAGUCUAUAAUAUAUAACUAAACUAUUGUUGUAUGUAAAGUAAAUAAGGGUUUUAAAAUGUUUAAGAAGCUUCAUUUAAAAUUAAAUUAAAAUGCAGAGUCCCCCGGACCAGUGGCCAGGACCUGGGUAGUGUGAGUGCCACUGAAAAUCAGCUCGCAUGCCGCCUUCGGUAUGUGUGCCAUAGGUUGCCUACCCCUGCCUUAAAUUAUCAGCAUGUUUUAAGAGUUGUUUUUUUCAGAUUCAACACGUAAAUCAGACAGUGAGACUCUAUCUGGUUCAGAUUCAUUGUGGCACAUGAAGACCAAACAAGUAACUGUUCAUGCACGACCAGCAUUAUUGCCACAGUAUUUGGCAGAUCUGUAUUCAUGAGGCAAACAUGCAGAGAUCUCUAAAAACUGCAAUGUUCUCCAUUUUGAGAAGUGAGUGUGUGGUUAUUAAUAAAAAAUUAGAAAAAAAUUAAACA
rnacentral:lncRNA from 1 species